rnacentral:rRNA from 1 species
UAUGAACGCUGGCGGCGUGCCUAAUACAUGCAAGUCGAGCGAACGGACGAGAAGCUUGCUUUUCUGAUGUUAGCGGCGGACGGGUGAGUAACACGUGGAUAACCUACCUAUAAGACUGGGAUAACUUCGGGAAACCGGAGCUAAUACCGGAUAAUAUUUUGAACCGCAUGGUUCAAAAGUGAAAGACGGUCUUGCUGUCACUUAUAGAUGGAUCCGCGCUGCAUUAGCUAGUUGGUAAGGUAACGGCUUACCAAGGCAACGAUGCAUAGCCGACCUGAGAGGGUGAUCGGCCACACUGGAACUGAGACACGGUGCAGACUCCUACGGGAGGCAGCAGUAGGGAAUCUUCCGCAAUGGGCGAAAGCCUGACGGAGCAACGCCGCGUGAGUGAUGAAGGUCUUCGGAUCGUAAAACUCUGUUAUUAGGGAAGAACAUAUGUGUAAGUAACUGUGCACAUCUUGACGGUACCUAAUCAGAAAGCCACGGCUAACUACGUG